rnacentral:rRNA from 1 species
UACGGAGGGGGCUAGCGUUGUUCGGAAUUACUGGGCGUAAAGCGCACGUAGGCGGCUUUGUAAGUUAGAGGUGAAAGCCCGGGGCUCAACUCCGGAAUUGCCUUUAAGACUGCAUCGCUAGAAUUGUGGAGAGGUAAGUGGAAUUCCGAGUGUAGAGGUGAAAUUCGUAGAUAUCAGGAGGAACACCAGUGGCGAAGGCGGCUUUCUGGACGGUAACUGACGCUGAGACGCGAAAAGCGUGGGGAGCAAACAGGG